AGAGUGAACGCUGGCGGCAGGCCUAACACAUGCAAGUCGAACGGCAGCACAGGAGAGCUUGCUCUCUGGGUGGCGAGUGGCGGACGGGUGAGGAAUACAUCGGAAUCUGCCUAUUUGUGGGGGAUAACGUAGGGAAACUUACGCUAAUACCGCAUACGACCUACGGGUGAAAGCGGAGGACCUUCGGGCUUCGCGCAGAUAGAUGAGCCGAUGUCGGAUUAGCUAGUUGGUGGGGUAAAGGCCCACCAAGGCGACGAUCCGUAGCUGGUCUGAGAGGAUGAUCAGCCACACUGGAACUGAGACACGGUCAGACUCCUACGGGAGCAGCAGUGGGGAAUAGUUAGG
rnacentral:rRNA from 1 species